UGGGGAAUUUUGGACAAUGGGCGAAAGCCUGAUCCAGCAAUGCCGCGUGUGUGAAGAAGGCCUUCGGGUUGUAAAGCACUUUUGUCCGGAAAGAAAUCCUUGGCUCUAAUACAGUCGGGGGAUGACGGUACCGGAAGAAUAAGCACCGGCUAACUACGUGCCAGCAGCCGCGGUAAUACGUAGGGUGCAAGCGUUAAUCGGAAUUACUGGGCGUAAAGCGUGCGCAGGCGGUUUGCUAAGACCGAUGUGAAAUCCCCGGGCUCAACCUGGGAACUGCAUUGGUGACUGGCAGGCUAGAGUAUGGCAGAGGGGGGUAGAAUUCCACGUGUAGCAGUGAAAUGCGUAGAGAUGUGGAGGAAUACCGAUGGCGAAGGCAGCCCCCUGGGCCAAUACUGACGCUCAUGCACGAAAGCGUGGGGAGCAAACAGGAUUAGAUACCCUGGUAGUCCACGCCUUAAACGAUGUCAACUAGUUGUUGGGGAUUCAUUUCCUUAGUAACGUAGCUAACGCGUGAAGUUGACCGCCUGGGGAGUACGGUCGCAAGAUUAAAACUUAAUGAAUUGACGGGGUCAUAGCUGUUUCCU
rnacentral:rRNA from 1 species